rnacentral:lncRNA from 1 species
GGUAACGGGUACCCGCAAGUAGGGUAAUAUACUACCCGUACCCAACCCGUUUAGAAGCGGGUAGUAAAAUACCCGCUACCUGUUAUCCGCGACUACCUGUGCCCAUGGAUUUUUUUGUCAUCCCUAGUUGCAUUUCAGUUCUCGACUGUCUCAAAUUUCGUUUGUAAGUUUAUCUCGCGUUACAUAUUUGCUUUAUCGUUGUCAUGUUAUCUUCAUUAUGUUGUUUGAGAGUCAAAAGAAUAUUUGAGGGCUUUACUUGACUCUUAGUCGUGUCAACAAGAAUUGACUGUUCAACAACAUUUAACCUCUCCGCGAAAGAAUGACCAACCAAAGUCUAUGCUAAUUCAUGGUGGUGAUAGUCGCAAAAAACCUUUAACACCUAACAUUGUCCUUUAGGUUUACCCCUCAACCUAAACAUACAUUCACAUUUUCUUAUGUUAGUUACACUAGGCUGAACAUUUGGCUUAUACUUCCUAUACUUCUCCCUCCUUUCACACCC